GCGGGCGGGACCCACUGGGUGGCCGCGCGCGCCACCCGCGCGUUUUCUGCGCGCCUCUGCCCACCCGCGAGGCCGCAACGCGCCCUGACACCCGACCUCAGUGUGGACCCUCACUUGCUGUGGGUGUUGGGGCCUCUCUAGAGCAGGGAGGAAAAGUUACCCUCACUAUUCUCAGACUCUGGAAUCUCUUAGAUCAAACAAAUAAUAGAAGUCUGUUGAAGCUUUGUCCUGACCUAUCCUGGAAGUAGAAGAAUACUCUGGAGAAAGGAGCAUUGUAAGCACAAAGAAUAAGAUUCCUCAAUCCUGAGAGAGAGAAUUAAAGUCUAACUCUCCAAAUGUAAGUCAUCUGUACUGUACAUAUUUUUCAUCUCUCAGUUUUUAUUGCUAUUCAGGUUUUAGUAGAAAUAAUGUGCUGACAAUAUUGUUUGGAUUUUUU
rnacentral:lncRNA from 10 species